UACAGAGGGGGCAAGCGUUGUUCGGAAUUACUGGGCGUAAAGGGCGCGUAGGCGGCCUUCUAAGUCGAACGUGAAAUCCCCGGGCUCAACCCGGGAACUGCGUCCGAUACUGGAAGGCUUGAAUCCGGGAGAGGGAUGUGGAAUUCCAGGUGUAGCGGUGAAAUGCGUAGAUAUCUGGAGGAACACCGGUGGCGAAGGCGACAUCCUGGACCGGUACUGACGCUGAGGAGCGAAAGCGUGGGGAGCGAACAGG
rnacentral:rRNA from 1 species